rnacentral:rRNA from 1 species
UACGAAGGGGGCUAGCGUUGCUCGGAUUGACUGGGCGUAAAGGGCGCGUAGGCGGCUUGUACAGUCAGACGUGAAAUUCCUGGGCUCAACCUGGGGGCUGCGUUUGAUACGUAUGGGCUUGAGUUCGGAAGAGGGUCGUGGAAUUCCCAGUGUAGAGGUGAAAUUCGUAGAUAUUGGGAAGAACACCGGUGGCGAAGGCGGCGACCUGGUCCGAUACUGACGCUGAGGCGCGAAAACGUGGGGAGCAAACAGG